rnacentral:rRNA from 1 species
GACGAACGCUGGCGGCGUGCCUAAUACAUGCAAGUCGAGCGAAUGGAAGGGAGCUUGCUCCCUGAAGUUAGCGGCGGACGGGUGAGUAACACGUGGGCAACCUGCCUGUAAGACUGGGAUAACUUCGGGAAACCGGAGCUAAUACCGGAUACGUUCUUUCCUCGCAUGAGGAAAGAUGAAAAGAUGGUUUCGGCUAUCACUUACAGAUGGGCCCGCGGCGCAUUAGCUAGUUGGUGGGGUAACGGCCCACCAAGGCGACGAUGCGUAGCCGACCUGAGAGGGUGAUCGGCCACACUGGGACUGAGACACGGCCCAGACUCCUACGGGAGGCAGCAGUAGGGAAUCUUCCGCAAUGGACGAAAGUCUGACGGAGCAACGCCGCGUGAGCGAAGAAGGCCUUCGGGUCGUAAAGCUCUGUUGUCAGGGAAGAACAAGUGCCAGAGUAACUGCUGGCACCUUGACGGUACCUGACCAGAAAGCCACGGCUAACUCCGUGCCAGCCGCCGCGGUAA